UACGAAGGGGGCUAGCGCUGCUCGGAAUCACUGGGCGUAAAGCGCACGUAGGCGGCUUCUUAAGUCAGGGGUGAAAUCCUGGAGCUCAACUCCAGAACUGCCCUUGAUACUGGCGAUCUCGAGUUCGGGAGAGGUGAGUGGAACUGCGAGUGUAGAGGUGAAAUUCGUAGAUAUUCGCAAGAACACCAGUGGCGAAGGCGGCUCACUGGCCCGAUACUGACGCUGAGGUGCGAAAGCGUGGGGAGCAAACAGG
rnacentral:rRNA from 1 species